AAUCCAUAGGUUAAUGAGGCGAACCGGGGGAACUGAAACAUCUAAGUACCCCGAGGAAAAGAAAUCAACCGAGAUUCCCCCAGUAGCGGCGAGCGAACGGGGAGGAGCCCAGAGCCUGAAUCAGCAUGUGUGUUAGUGGAAGCGUCUGGAAAGGCGCGCGAUACAGGGUGACAGCCCCGUACACAAAAGCGCAUGUGCUGUGAGCUCGAUGAGUAGGGCGGGACACGUGGUAUCCUGUCUGAAUAUGGGGGGACCAUCCUCCAAGGCUAAAUACUCCUGACUGACCGAUAGUGAACCAGUACCGUGAGGGAAAGGCGAAAAGAACCCCGGCGAGGGGAGUGAAAAAGAACCUGAAACCGUGUACGUACAAGCAGUGGGAGCCCCACCACCAAAGCAUUCUCUGGUGUUGAAGGCCCUGCAAAGCAGCAUCGCGGUG
rnacentral:rRNA from 1 species